UGGGGAAUAUUGGACAAUGGGCGCAAGCCUGAUCCAGCGAUGCCGCGUGGGUGAAGACGGCCUGCGGGUUGUAAAGCCCUUUGGGCGGGGAAGAACGGCGGGCCGCGAACAGCGGCCCGCCCUGACAUCACCCGCAAAACAAGCACCGGCUAACUCCGUGCCAGCAGCCGCGGUAAUACGGAGGGUGCGAGCGUUAAUCGGAAUUACUGGGCGUAAAGCGUGCGCAGGCGGACCGGUCAGUCAGCCGUGAAAGCCCCGGGCUCAACCUGGGAACGGCGGUUGAGACGGCCGGGCUAGAGUGGGCUAGAGGAUCGUGGAAUUCCGGGUGUAGCGGUGAAAUGCGUAGAGAUCCGGAGGAACACCGAUGGCGAAGGCAGCGGUCUGGGGCCACACUGACGCUGAGGCACGACGGCGUGGGGAGCAAACA
rnacentral:rRNA from 1 species